rnacentral:lncRNA from 1 species
GUUUUUAUAUGAUUAUAUUUUGAUAUUUUUUGAGGCCAUGAUAUUGUAUUUCAAUGAAAAAUCAUUUAUAAAAGGGCUUUUUACCCAUACAAGGAUCUGAUGUGCUUAAAUAUCAAGGAGAAAACUUUCCCAAUGGCUAGGAAAACUGAGGCUGGAGUGAAUUCUACUGUGACCCAUGAUACACAGUCGCUUUUCCUCCUUAAGGGGAACAUUAACUAGUCAGUCAUGAAUCUUGAUAGAAUUAAUUAAUUACAAGCAUUUUCCUCCUGAAUUUCAAAUGUGGUUUAGUAAGCAGGUGGUACAGUGGAGUUGGAGUCAGGAAGACCUGAGUUCAAAUCCUGAUUCAGAUACUUCCUAGCUAUGUGACUCUGAUAAGCCACCUAACCUUUCUCUAUUUCAGGUUUUCUCAUCUAGAAAAUGGGGAUAAUAAUAAUUUCCUACUUCCCAGGUUUGUUGUAAGAAUUGAAGAAGCUAAAUUUAUAAAGGGACUUAAAAACUGUACAGUGCUAUAUGAAUAUUACUUAUUCUCCUUUUUUCACUGUGGUGUUAAUAAGUAAUUCUCUAAAUGUAAACUCCUUGGGUACAGGGACCAUUUUUUUGUAUCUCUAACACCACACAUAAAGGUGAUGCUUAAUAAAAUUAUUGAAUUAAAAACAAAUGAAAAUAAGUAAUAUUUUGGCUCUAAAAAUUUUAGACAGACCUUUAAGAGCUCCUAAGUGUCCUAAACUUAACUUUUCUUUGAUAGUUUAAAUCACAGAAUUAUAGAUCUACAGGUAGAAGGGGCCUCAGAUUUGAUCAUUUUAUUUUACAGAUGAUGACACUGGAGUCUUGUGAAGUUAAGUGACUUGCCCCAAAUUCAUACUGGAAGUGUUAGAGGCAAGAUUUAAAUCCAGGGCUUUUGAUCUUCCUUCUUGCUCUUUCUUUCUUUGUUUCCUUCCUUCCUUCCUUCCUUCCUUCCUUCCUUCCUUCCUUCCUUCCUUCCUUCCUUCCUUCCUUCCUUCCUUCCUUCCUUCCUUCCUUCCUUCCUUCCUUCCUUCCUUCCUUCCUUCCUUCCUUCCUCCUUCCUUCCUUCCUCCUUCCUUCCUCCCUCCCUCCCUCCCUCCUUUCUUUCUUUCUUUCUUUCUUUCUUUCUUUCUUUCUUUCUUUCUUUCUUUCUUUCUUUCUUUCUUUCUUUCUUUCUUUCAUAAGGUUUUCAAAGAGAGGCAGAAGUAGAGUCAGGAGAG